rnacentral:lncRNA from 1 species
ACAAGUUACACAAUUGUGAAAUUUUUGCAGCAAAUGUCACAAUGUCUCUUCUUCAUGAUGAGCAGUCAGCCGCCUACAAUAAUGUUGUUGAUAGGGAUAUGGAUCAAUUUCACAAAGAAGCCAAUAAAUCCCAUUAUUGCAAAGCCUAUUGCUGUUGCCAUUGCAAUCUUCUGGAAUUCUUUCCUGUCAGGUUUAGUGCAUCUUUUAACCAGUCGUAUGGAGUCUUUAACAAACUGACGGCUGGGUUCCACGAAUUGCAUUACCUGAUCCAUGACUACCAGCUACUCCGCCAGAAAAAGCCACGUCGUACUACAGCCGAGCGUAGUGACGUCACCACACGCGACGUGCGCCCGACCACGCCUUUUCCUGCGUCCAGC